rnacentral:sRNA from 1 species
UAGUUGUAUGAACUUAGGAAAAGAAAAAGAGAACAUAUAUCCCCCUACCUUUUGAUUUCCAACAGUCUACUGAGAGGCCAACAUUAUUUGCAGGGAAAGAAAAGGGGUCAAAUUGUUUUGCCAGUCACUCCCAAAUCAUCUACAGCCAAGGGGAGAAGUGUAUCAAGACGGAGGUGCUCAACGGUAUCAAAUACUGCCAAGAGACCAAGUAAUACAUGCACUGAAGUGUCUACUGGAUCUAGCUAUAUGAAAUUUUAAUUUAGGACACUUAGGCCAUACUGAAGCAAGGUGACAAAAUGAAUAGCUACAAUGUCUCAUGAAUCUUGGGUUUCCAUUCACCCUGGUAUUCAAGAGAAAUUCUUGCAUCAUGGAAGUUGAAGUUGGAUAGGACUUUCUCAGCUGAACACUGUCAUCUGCCAGAGCUUCAGAUGAAGAAACUGAGGCAGACAGAGGUGAAGAAACUUGCACAAGGUCAAAGAACAAAGAGUCACAUUAGCAGCUGGAUAUUCAGCUUUGAAGCUCAAGGAAGAAGUCAGGACUGGAGAUAUACUCUCCACUCCCUCCUCACAAGGGAACAGAGCAAUGCCCAGGGCACCCUGGGG